rnacentral:rRNA from 1 species
GAUGAACGCUGGCGGCGUGCCUAAUACAUGCAAGUCGAGCGAACAGACGAGGAGCUUGCUCCUCUGACGUUAGCGGCGGACGGGUGAGUAACACGUGGAUAACCUACCUAUAAGACUGGGAUAACUUCGGGAAACCGGAGCUAAUACCGGAUAAUAUAUUGAACCGCAUGGUUCAAUAGUGAAAGACGGUUUUGCUGUUACUUAUAGAUGGAUCCGCGCCUCAUUAGCUAGUUGGUAAGGUAACGGCUUACCAAGGCAACGAAGCGUAGCCGACCUGAGAGAGUGAUCGGACACACUGGAACUGAGACACGGUCCAGACUCCUACGGGAGGCAGCAGUAGGGAAUCUUCCGCAAUGGGCGAAAGCCUGACGGAGCAACGCCGCGUGAGUGAUGAAGGGCUUCGGAUCGUAAAACUCUGUUAGUAGGGAAGAACAAAUGUGUAAGUAACUAUGCACGUCUUGACGGUACCUAAUCAGAAAGCCACGGCUAACUACGUG